rnacentral:rRNA from 1 species
UACGAAGGGGACUAGCGUUGUUCGGAAUUACUGGGCGUAAAGCGCGCGUAGGCGGAUCGCUAAGUCAGGGGUGAAAUCCCAGGGCUCAACCCUGGAACUGCCUUUGAUACUGACGAUCUGGAGAUCGGGAGAGGUUGGUGGAAUUCCGAGUGUAGAGGUGAAAUUCGUAGAUAUUCGGAGGAACACCAGAAGCGAAGGCGGCCAACUGGCCCGAUACUGACGCUGAGGCGCGAAAGCGUGGGGAGCAAACAGGAUUGAGAA